AUGAAACAUGAUUCCAUUGUGUCUUCAAGGUUCUUGCAUAAGCUUUGGCAGAACAAGGUUGCAAGAGAUCGAAGAUUUACCGGUAGAAGAAUGUAUAGUGCGUCUUCGACAAUAACGAACAAAGAUAGAACACUGAAUAAUUCUUACUCCAGGUAUGAUUAUAAUCAGAUUCACUCUUCUUCUUCUACUCCAUUUCUGUGUUGUUGCGAUUUCGUGUGA